AUAGCGUAUAUUAAAGUUGUUGCAGUUAAAAAGCUCGUAGUUGAACUUUGGGUUUGGUUGGGCGGUCUUUCCUUUGGAUUGCACUUCUCUGACUGAACCUUUCCUUCUGGAGAACUAUGGUGCUAUUCAUUUAGUGCUAUAGGGAACCAGGACUUUUACUUUGAAAAAAUUAGAGUGUUUAAAGCAGGCUUACGCUUGAAUACAUUAGCAUGGAAUAAUAGAAUAGGACUUUGGUUUUAUUUUGUUGGUUUCUAGGACCGAAGUAAUGAUUAAUAGGGAUAGUUGGGGGCAUUAGUAUUUAGCCGUCAGAGGUGAAAUUCUUGGAUUGG
rnacentral:rRNA from 1 species